rnacentral:rRNA from 1 species
GGGUUGUGAGGUUAAGCGACUAAGCGUACACGGUGGAUGCCUAGGCAGUCAGAGGCGAUGAAGGGCGUGCUAAUCUGCGAUAAGCGUCGGUAAGCUGAUAUGAAGCGUUAUACCCGACGAUACCCGAAUGGGGAAACCCAGUGUGUUUCGACACACUAUCAUUAUGUGAAUACAUAGCGUAAUGAGGCGAACCGGGGGAACUGAAACAUCUCAGUACCCGAGGAAAAGAAAUCAACCGAGAUUCCCCUAGUAGCGGCGAGCGAACGGGGAGGAGCCCAGAACCUGAAUCAGUUUGUGUGUUAGUGGAAGCGUCUGGAAAGUCGCACAGUAAAGGGUGAUAGUCCCGUACACAAAAAUGCACAGAUUGUGAGUUCGAUGAGUAGGGCGGGACACGUGACAUCCUGUCUGAAUAUGGGGGGACCAUCCUCCAAGGCUAAAUACUCCUGACUGACCGAUAGUGAACCAGUACCGUGAGGGAAAGGCGAAAAGAACCCCGGCGAGGGGAGUGAAAUAGAACCUGAAACCGUGUACGUACAAGCAGUGGGAGCCUUGAUUAAUCAGGGUGACUGCGUACCUUUUGUAUAAUGGGUCAGCGACUUAUAUUCUGUAGCAAGGUUAACCGUAUAGGGGAGCCGUAGGGAAACCGAGUCUUAACUGGGCGUUAAGUUGCAGGGUAUAGACCCGAAACCCGGUGAUCUAGCCAUGGGCAGGUUGAAGGUUGGGUAACACUAACUGGAGGACCGAACCGACUAAUGUUGAAAAAUUAGCGGAUGACUUGUGGCUGGGGGUGAAAGGCCAAUCAAACCGGGAGAUAGCUGGUUCUCCCCGAAAGCUAUUUAGGUAGCGCCUCGUGAAUUCAUCUUCGGGGGUAGAGCACUGUUUCGGCUAGGGGGUCAUCCCGACUUACCAACCCGAUGCAAACUACGAAUACCGAAGAAUGUUAUCACGGGAGACACACGGCGGGUGCUAACGUUCGUCGUGAAGAGGGAAACAACCCAGACCGCCAGCUAAGGUCCCAAAGUCAUGGUUAAGUGGGAAACGAUGUGGGAAGGCACAGACAGCCAGGAUGUUGGCUUAGAAGCAGCCAUCAUUUAAAGAAAGCGUAAUAGCUCACUGGUCGAGUCGGCCUGCGCGGAAGAUGUAACGGGGCUAAACCAUGCACCGAAGCUGCGGCAGCGACACUUAGGUGUUGUUGGGUAGGGGAGCGUUCUGUAAGCCGUAGAAGGUGGCCUGUGAGGGCUGCUGGAGGUAUCAGAAGUGCGAAUGCUGACAUAAGUAACGAUAAUGCGGGUGAAAAACCCGCACGCCGGAAGACCAAGGGUUCCUGUCCAACGUUAAUCGGGGCAGGGUGAGUCGACCCCUAAGGCGAGGCUGAAAAGCGUAGUCGAUGGGAAACAGGUUAAUAUUCCUGUACUCGGUGUUACUGCGAAGGGGGGACGGAGAAAGCUAGGUUAUCCGGGCGACGGUUGUCCCGGUUUAAGCGUGAAGGUGGAUGACUUUGGUAAAUCCGGGUCGUCAUUAACACUGAGGCGUGAUGACGAGUCACUACGGUGAUGAAGUAACCAAUGCUACGCUUCCAGGAAAAGCCUCUAAGCUCCAGGUAACAUCAAAUCGUACCCCAAACCGACACAGGUGGUCAGGUAGAGAAUACUCAGGCGCUUGAGAGAACUCGGGUGAAGGAACUAGGCAAAAUGGUGCCGUAACUUCGGGAGAAGGCACGCUGAUGGUAGGUGAAGUGACUUGCUCACGGAGCUGAAAUCAGUCGAAGAUACCAGCUGGCUGCAACUGUUUAAUAAAAACACAGCACUGUGCAAACACGAAAGUGGACGUAUACGGUGUGACGCCUGCCCGGUGCCGGAAGGUUAAUUGAUGGGGUCAGCCGCAAGGCGAAGCUCUUGAUCGAAGCCCCGGUAAACGGCGGCCGUAACUAUAACGGUCCUAAGGUAGCGAAAUUCCUUGUCGGGUAAGUUCCGACCUGCACGAAUGGCGUAAUGAUGGCCAGGCUGUCUCCACCCGAGACUCAGUGAAAUUGAACUCGCUGUGAAGAUGCAGUGUACCCGCGGCAAGACGGAAAGACCCCGUGAACCUUUACUAUAGCUUGACACUGAACCUUGAGCCUUGAUGUGUAGGAUAGGUGGGAGGCUUUGAAGCGUGGACGCCAGUCUGCGUGGAGCCAACCUUGAAAUACCACCCUUUAAUGUUUGAUGUUCUAACGUGGGCCCGUAAUCCGGGUUGCGGACAGUGUCUGGUGGGUAGUUUGACUGGGGCGGUCUCCUCCCAAAGCGUAACGGAGGAGCACGAAGGUUAGCUAAUCCUGGUCGGACAUCAGGAGGUUAGUGCAAAGGCAUAAGCUAGCUUGACUGCGAGAGUGACAGCUCGAGCAGGUGCGAAAGCAGGUCUUAGUGAUCCGGUGGUUCUGAAUGGAAGGGCCAUCGCUCAACGGAUAAAAGGUACUCCGGGGAUAACAGGCUGAUACCGCCCAAGAGUUCAUAUCGACGGCGGUGUUUGGCACCUCGAUGUCGGCUCAUCACAUCCUGGGGCUGAAGUAGGUCCCAAGGGUAUGGCUGUUCGCCAUUUAAAGUGGUACGCGAGCUGGGUUUAGAACGUCGUGAGACAGUUCGGUCCCUAUCUGCCGUGGGCGUUGGAAGAUUGAGAGGGGUUGCUCCUAGUACGAGAGGACCGGAGUGAACGCACCACUGGUGUUCGGGUUGUGAUGCCAAUUGCAUUGCCCGGUAGCUAAGUGCGGAAGAGAUAACCGCUGAAAGCAUCUAAGCGGGAAACUUGCCUCGAGAUGAGUCUUCCCUGGGCACUAGAUGCCCCUGAAGGGCCGUUGAAGACGACGACGUAGAUAGGCUGGGUGUGUAAGCGUAGCGAUACGUUGAGCUAACCAGUACUAAUGACCCGAGAGGCUUAACCUUACAACACCGAAGGUGUUU